CCUGGAGCUUCAACACCUGAGUAAACGCAGCCUGAAAAUUUAAUGUGGUGCUAUGUUAUUUUUGGUAUUUCAUGGGUAUUUCAGAAGUUUUUUUUUACGUUAACAAAGGAAACCGGAUGUUAUCUUAAAACAGCCACCUAGCCAAGCCGAGCCAACAGAGAUGAUCAACAGGUCGAUGGGACUAGCUGGGCACUGGGGAAAGGUCAGCAGGUUGGCUCAUAUAUUUGCUUUAGGAACCCGACGAGGCUGAAUUGCCAUCUCUAGUAUUCAGCAAAGAUAGGUGGAACGUCAUUGUGCUGAAGUUAUGUUUGAGCGCCCUCUGCUGGAAGAAUGAGGUAUAGCUCAGAUAAAUACAGGGUUUUUUUGUUGGUUUUUGUUGUUUUGUUUGUUUGCUUUUUGUUUUGGUCUUGUACCUUUUAAGUACAAGCUCUGAAGAAGAUUUUAUCUAGAAUCUACAUUUAAAAAAUCCAUCCUUUAAACAAAGACUCUAUGGUGUCUAUCCAUGUACAAAUGGUAUUUGACUUUUGCAGAUCUGGAAGGAAAUGAAAUUUAGGGUCAUACAUCGUCACAAACAGAUACCUAGUUGACACAUUUAAAAACCUAAAACACAGUGGAAGUGAGAACAACAUAAUAUGAUGUCUUUCUCCCUCACGAACACCUGAGGCAAACAAAUAUACACAACCACCAGACUGCAAUGCCUUCCAAUUUAUUGGCCAAAUCUCACUCGGUCUAGAUUCUGCCAGUCAGCCCUGUUUAUUCACUCAGAAAGCCAGAUUUCAGACACACUGUGAGUGAUGGGAAAUCCAUUUUUAUCAGCAGAGGUAUCCUACCUAUCUUCAGGAAGCCCACAAACUUCCAGGGAGGCAGGAGAGAAGUCAAGAAGCGUCUGACCAUGAGCUGUGUAAGGAAGGCCUCCGUAUGAAGAUGUGACCUAGUUAGAAUGGCUGCCAGAAAGCAGGACCAGCAAGCUUGGUGGUUUGGACACCAGGACUUGGGACACUGGGGAAGGAAGACACCAAGUGCAAUGUCCUCUUAGCAUCUAUAGUGAGUUGCUGGGUUACACAAAAAGAUUCUGGAUCAGCGAGCGAAGAAGCAAGGGGAAGGGAAGUGGAGGAAAGAGAGGAGAAAGAAAGGAAGUGGGAAGAGAAAUGGGGACAAGAAAAGCCCCAAACAUCCCAUAAGUUCUCAGAACAGUGUCACCAACCGGGAACCAACGUGCUCACACCAGAUGAGCCUGUGGAAGGACUUUUUACCAAUUGUUCAUGGGUCCCCAGUGAUGAUGGAGUAUUGCAACUUUCCUUUCAACCGUUUAAAAAUUUACUGUUAUUAUUUUAUGCGUCUCAGAGUUUUGUCUGUCCUGUUCUCUUGUAACUCCAGUUGCAGAAAAUCUAACACUUCUCUGUCCCCUCCCCCUCCGGCAAUCAGGCACGGACAUUUGUGAGAGGCUGUGGCAUCUUUAGGAGGUAGAGCCUAAAUGGAGAAACUGGGCUGUUGGGACAACAGACGCUGAGGUUUACAGGCCAAUCCCGCUGCCUGCCCCUCUCUGCCUUCUCUACCAAGCAAUCGGCCUCCUUCCUGCUGCUGAAGCUGCAAGCUGCUCCUACCGCCACGCCUUCCCUAUGGCCACGCCUUCCCUACGGCCACGCCUUCCCUACGGCCACGCCUUCCAUGCCGCCACGCCUUCCCUACGGCCACGCCUUCCAUGCCGCCACGCCUUCCCUGCCGCCACGCCUUCCCUGCCACAAACGACAGAGCUCUCACACUGAAAGCCAGAAUAAAUCCUUCUUCAGUUGGUUGUUUUCAGUUAAUUGGUCCCAACAAUAGCAAAGGUAACUGAAAAAUAGAUAAACAUCUAUUGGAAGCUGGAAAACACAAAGUCCCGCUGCUCUGAAAUCUAAACGUUCAAGCAUUGUCGUGACACUACAAAGAGAAAAGUCCAUAUCCGACCAUACCUGAGAAUCUACUGAUUAAUACAAACCCAAGUUUGCUAAAAGGCUGUAUAAAAUUAUCUUCAGGGUGUGAGUAUAAGGUAGGUAUGAGAUGUAAAUUUGAUUUGUGUUUUGACUUGGGUCCCAUGCACCUCUAACAUGUAUUCCUGUGUGACUACAAAUCUCCCCAAGUCCAAACAACCCCAAACCUGGGCACUUUAGCUAGGGGAUACCCAAUCUGUAAGCUGUUUACUGCCACAGAGAAGCUGAUGCGAUCACAGCCUACUAACAACUUGGUCAAAACACUUCUAAUAACGGAACCACGGGAACUUCCCAUGGGUUUCCAUGGGGUCAGAAAGGAAGUAAGGGGACAGAUUAUUUCACAUCAUGGUAUAUGUCCAGUCAAGGUCUGUAUUAGCCUUCCAUCGCCAUGACAAAGUACGAAAGAUAUCAUCUUUUUAAACGGGCUUAUUUUGGCUCACGGUUUCAUAGGAAGAUAUAUAGCUAUGAUCUCCAUGUUAACAUUUUUACUGGUUGCUGUCUCUGGUCAGGAGAAGGCGGUACCUGGCAAUGGUGUGGUGAGGAGAGUUUCUUUCUCCAGCUCAAACAGAUGCAAGUGAAAGCAGCAUAGGACCCAGGACCACAUCACUAGGCUAGUGCUGUACCACUGAGUCAAACCCUCAGCCUUCUACAUUGUGAGCUGAGCGUGCUGGUUCAUGCCAGGAACCCAGCACUGGGGGGACCAAGGUGAAGAGGCACUGUGGGUGUGAUGUCAGUCUGGGCUGGAGAAUGAGAUUGUUUUUAAAAAAGAAAAAAAAUUUUCCUAUGUGGUAUACUUAAUUAUAUAAAGAUUCUGUUGUUGUUGUUGUUGUUAAAAUUCAGCUAGUAAAUUUCCAUCUGUCUGGU
rnacentral:sRNA from 1 species